UACGUAGGGCGCAAGCGUUUAUCCGGAAUUAUUGGGCGUAAAGAGCUCGUAGGCGGUUUGUCGCGUCUGCCGUGAAAGUCCGGGGCUCAACUCCGGAUCUGCGGUGGGUACGGGGCAGACUAGAGUGAUGUAGGGGAGACUGGAAUUCCUGGUGUAGCGGUGAAAUGCGCAGAUAUCAGGAGGAACACCGAUGGCGAAGGCAGGUCUCUGGGCAUUAACUGACGCUGAGGAGCGAAAGCAUGGGGGAGCGAACAGG
rnacentral:rRNA from 1 species